GGCCCGACAGAGUUUGAUCCUGGCUCAGAUUGAACGCUGGCGGCAUGCCUUACACAUGCAAGUCGAACGGCAGCACGGGGGCAACCCUGGUGGCGAGUGGCGAACGGGUGAGUAAUACAUCGGAACGUGUCCUGUAGUGGGGGAUAGCCCGGCGAAAGCCGGAUUAAUACCGCAUACGAUCUAAGGAUGAAAGUGGGGGAUCGCAAGACCUCAUGCUCGUGGAGCGGCCGAUAUCUGAUUAGCUAGUUGGUGGGGUAAAGGCCUACCAAGGCAUCGAUCAGUAGCUGGUCUGAGAGGACGACCAGCCACACUGGAACUGAGACACGGUCCAGACUCCUACGGGAGGCAGCAGUGGGGAAUUUUGGACAAUGGGCGCAAGCCUGAUCCAGCAAUGCCGCGUGAGUGAAGAAGGCCUUCGGGUUGUAAAGCUCUUUUGUCAGGGAAGAAACGGUGGUUUCUAAUACAGAUCACUAAUGACGGUACCUGAAGAAUAAGCACCGGCUAACUACGUGCCAGCAGCCGCGGUAAUA
rnacentral:rRNA from 1 species